CAAAGAACACCGAGUGCUCCACAGACGCAGGGAAAGUUGGUGAGAGGUGCAACGGGAAACAGUGGUGUAAAGUCAAAGCCAGGAACUAUGUGUUGGGAGAUCCCUGCUAUGGGACCUACAAGUACCUGGAGGUGGAAUAUAUUUGUUACGAUGUUCCCCAGUUGUGCCCAGAAUAGAAGCAGAAGUCGCCUUCUUCUUCAGGAUGCCGACGAAGGCUCUGAUGCUGCUGCCCCAACAGAUGACGCAGAGGGCAACAGACUGAGAGAAGAUCUGCAGCAUUCUGCUGCAAACCUGGAAGAAUCUUAGCUCCCUCAAGAAGCUGAAUGAAAAUAAUCUGAAUUGCAAUUAAACAUAAUAAAUAAAGUAAUAGAGUUAGUUUGAAAAUAUUUUUAUUUUCAUUUCUGUAAUAUAAAGAUUAAUGACAGCCUUUUUGUUAAACUGCUUCUUUUGGUAAACUACUUCACCCAAAAUAAGAGAAAAUUCAGAGAGGAAUAUGUUUGUGGCCUUACAUUAAAUAAUUCAGUUUUUAAGGUUAAUAAUGUAUUCCUCUCACUUCACAGGAGCCAGGCUGGUAACUGAACUCUGCUGGCAAACUGUUAGCAUGCAACCCUUAUCAGUGUUUGUAGUUUGUAACAAAUAGAUCCAUGAAUGACUUUUUGUUUUUUCACCUUCAGUGAAAUGUUGGUAAAAACAAACUGAAUGUUCCCAUAACUGAGUGGCUCUUAGAUGCUUAUAUGAAAACUUACCUAGCAGGUUAUGUAGAAGUCACUGGGACCACUACGAACUGAAACUGGGAGAACUCAAAGGACAAUAAUUCACAUGGUCAUCACAUCUAGAAGUGGAAAUUAAUGACUAGUUUUACGUGACUCAAUUCUACACCAACCAGUUCUAUUUCAACCAGCUCUACAUCACCAAGGUCUACAUCAACCGCACAACUUCACCCAGUUCUACAGUCCUUUACUGAGAUAACAGACUUUAAACUCCAGCUGGUCGUUUAUAAAUUACUGAACAGAUCAAAGAUGUGCUGCUGCUGGAUCAACCUUCAGAUCUCUCAGGUUGUGGUUCUGAUUCUUCUCUGCAUCCAGAAACAGAAGCGAACAUGGACCAGCAGCAAUCAGCUUCUAUGCACCGCAAACCUCCAGCAAAGUGCAACCCAGGCAAAGCAAUCAGUUUCUUUAAAUCAAGGCUAAAACCCACCAGUUUAAAGUUCUUUUGAGCCAUGAACAAUUAAACAUUGAUCAACAUAAUACUGAAGAUUAUUGAUUAUAUUUAUAAUUGCUCUGUUUUUAUGGCAUUUGUUUUUUAAUAAUGUAAAAGUCUUUGGACGGAUUUCAUUUGGUGAAAUGUGGUAUACAAAUAAACUUUAUUG